rnacentral:rRNA from 1 species
AGAAUGGAGAAAUUUGCGCAAUGGGCGAAAGCCUGAUGCAAACGACGCCGCGUGAAGGAUGAAGGCCUUCGGGUUGUAAGCUCUUUUCUGGGGGAAGAUAGAGACGAACCAGAAAUUUCGCCAUUGGGGAAAAACCGGAAAAAAGGGGAGG